UGAGGAAUAUUGGGCAAUGCCCGCAAGGGUGACCCAGCAACGCCGCGUGGAGGAUGAAUGUCGUAAGAUUGUAAACUCCUGUUAGAGGGGAAGAAUAGUACCGGUUGGACCGGUAUAUGACUGUACCCUCAGAGAAAGCCCCGGCUAACUACGUGCCAGCAGCCGCGGUAAUACGUAGGGGGCAAGCGUCGUCCGGAUUUACUGGGUGUAAAGGGCGCGCAGGCGGGAUAAAAAGUCAGUGGUGAAAUCCUACAGCUUAACUGUAGAACUGCCUUUGAUACUUUUAUUCUUGAGUUCGGGAGAGAGAGACGGAAUUCCAGGUGUAGUGGUGAAAUACGUAGAUAUCUGGAAGAACACCAGUUGCGAAGGCGGUCUCUUGGUCCGACACUGACGCUGAGGCGCGAAAGCGUGGGGAGCAAACA
rnacentral:rRNA from 1 species